CAGGCUUAACACAUGCAAGUCGAGGGGCAGCAUGGUCUUAGCUUGCUAAGGCCGAUGGCGACCGGCGCACGGGUGAGUAACACGUAUCCAACCUGCCGUCUACUCUUGGACAGCCUUCUGAAAGGAAGAUUAAUACAAGAUGGCAUCAUGAGUCCACAUGUUCACAUGAUUAAAGGUAUUCCGGUAGACGAUGGGGAUGCGUUCCAUUAGAUAGUAGGCGGGGUAACGGCCCACCUAGUCUUCGAUGGAUAGGGGUUCUGAGAGGAAGGUCCCCCACAUUGGAACUGAGACACGGUCCAAACUCCUACGGGAGGCAGCAGUGAGGAAUAUUGGUCAAUGGGCGAGAGCCUGAACCAGCCAAGUAGCGUGAAGGAUGACUGCCCUAUGGGUUGUAAACUUCUUUUAUAAAGGAAUAAAGUCGGGUAUGCAUACCCGUUUGCAUGUACUUUAUGAAUAAGGAUCGGCUAACCCCGUGCCAGCAGCCGCGGUAAUACGGAGGAUCCGAGCGUUAUCCGGAUUUAUUGGGUUUAAAGGGAGCGUAGAUGGAUGUUUAAGUCAGUUGUGAAAGUUUGCGGCUCAACCGUAAAAUUGCAGUUGAUACUGGAUAUCUUGAGUGCAGUUGAGGCAGGCGGAAUUCGUGGUGUAGCGGUGAAAUGCUUAGAUAUCACGAAGAACUCCGAUUGCGAAGGCAGCCUGCUUAAGCCUGGCAACCUGGAAAUUGAGGCUCCGAAAAGUGUGGGCAACCAACAGGAUUAGAUACCUUGUUAGUCCACACGGUAAACGAUGAAUUCUCGCUGUUUGCGAUAUACAGCAAGCGGCCAAGCGAAAGCGUUAAGUAUUCCACCUGGGGAGUACGCCGGCAACGGUGAAACUCAAAGGAAUUGACGGGGGCCCGCACAAGCGGAGGAACAUGUGGUUUAAUUCGAUGAUACGCGAGGAACCUUACCCGGGCUUAAAUUGCAGAUGAAUUACGGUGAAAGCCGUAAGCCGCAAGGCAUCUGUGAAGGUGCUGCAUGGUUGUCGUCAGCUCGUGCCGUGAGGUGUCGGCUUAAGUGCCAUAACGAGCGCAACCCUUGUUGUCAGUUACUAACAGGUUCUGCUGAGGACUCUGACAAGACUGCCAUCGUAAGAUGUGAGGAAGGUGGGGAUGACGUCAAAUCAGCACGGCCCUUACGUCCGGGGCUACACACGUGUUACAAUGGGGGGUACAGAGGGCCGCUACCACGCGAGUGGAUGCCAAUCCCAAAAACCUCUCUCAGUUCGGACUGGAGUCUGCAACCCGACUCCACGAAGCUGGAUUCGCUAGUAAUCGCGCAUCAGCCACGGCGCGGUGAAUACGUUCCCGGGCCUUGUACACACCGCCCGUCAAGCCAUGGGAGCCGGGGGUACCUGAAGUGCGUAAAAGGGAGGAGCGCCCUAGGGUAAAACUGGUGACUGG
rnacentral:rRNA from 1 species